AUGGCGCUUCACACUGUCUCAGGCAUCAAGCUCCCGCCCUUCUCUCCCCCGCCUCCCCACCACCACCUGGGCGCGAGCCCCAGCGGCGGCAACCUCUACGCGGCCAGCGCAUUCCCGCGACGCCGAUGCGGCGGGCUCGCCGCCGUCGUGCGCUGCGCGAGGCGCACGGGCAAGCGGCGGUACCCGUCGGAGAAGAAGCGGCUGGAUCGGCGCCACAAGGAGCAGCUCCGCCAGACCGCCCCCGAGGAGGGCGGCGUGGCCCGGGAGGCUGGCUUCUGGCGCCUCUCCAAGCUCGCCGUCCCCGCCAGCGACGACCCCGGCAAGGACUUCCUCGGCGUCUCCCCGCCGCUCCUCCAGGCCAUUGCCAAGGCCCUCAAGUUCCCGGUCGCUUCUAUGCUCCCUGAAGAGGCCUUCUCUGUUAUCCGCAAGUCAUUUGAUGCACGCAAGAUUUUGAAAGAACCUCAAUUUGUUUAUACUGUUGAUGUGGAUGCUAAGAAGCUUCUGGACAUGGAGCCAAGGACAUGGGAUUUUAUUGCUAGAUUGGAACCCAGGCUUGGAAUUGUAGAAUAUAUGUCCGAUGGGAGGGUAGCAGCUGAUCUGAUCAGUAUGCUUAAUGUUCAUAACAAAGUCUCCGAUGAUGAACAUGGUAUCAGGGAUACUGUUAAUAAUGGCUCGAUCAGUCCUACACGAAUGAAACCAAGGGUGGCAAUUGUAGGAAGUGGCCCAUCUGGGUUGUUUGCUGCCCUUGUGUUAGCUGAACUUGGAGCAGAAGUUACCUUAUUGGAGCGUGGCCAACCUGUUGAGCAAAGAGGGCGUGACAUUGGUGCACUAGCAGUUAGACGAAUUCUCCAAUCAGAAAGCAACUUUUGCUUUGGCGAGGGUGGUGCAGGUACAUGGAGUGAUGGGAAGCUUGUGACCAGGAUAGGGAAAAACACUGAUGGUGUUCAGGCUGUGAUGAAAACAUUUGUUCAUUUCGGAGGCCCUCCAAACAUUCUCAUUGAUGGAAGACCUCACUUGGGUACAGAUAAACUUGUCCCUCUGUUGCGGAAUUUCAGACACCACUUAAGAGAGUUGGGCGUUGCCAUAAGAUUUAAUACUAGAGUAGAUGACCUUAUAGUGGAAGGCGGGCAGGUCAAAGGAGUUGUGGUUUCUGAUUCAAAUCUACAGCCAGGUUCUGUUGAUCAGAAACUAUCAUUCGAUGCAGUUGUGUUAGCAGUGGGGCACUCAGCUCGUGACACAUACAGUAUGCUUCUGAGGCAUAAUGUAGAUAUAACCCCCAAGAAUUUUUCUGUUGGUUUAAGAAUCGAGCACCCCCAAGAACUGAUAAACAACAUCCAAUAUUCUGAAUUGGCUGCUGAAGUACAUAAAGGGCGUGGGCGGAUACCUGUAGCAGAUUACAAGAUAGUGAAGUCUAUUGGUGAAGGAGAUGUGAAGAAUGAUAUAGAGCAAGUAGAUCAAAAUCGCAGUUGUUAUUCGUUUUGCAUGUGUCCUGGAGGACAGGUUGUUCUAACUAGCACAAACCCAUCGGAAUUGUGUGUCAAUGGCAUGUCAUUCUCACGGCGAGCGUCUAAGUGGGCAAACUCGGCUCUUGUGGUCACUGUAUCAUCUCAUGAUUUUGAACCAUUUCAAUCCCAUGGUUCUCUUGCGGGCGUAGAGUUCCAGAGAGAGUAUGAAAGAAGAGCAGCUAUGAUGGGGGGAGGGAAUUUUGUUGUCCCUGCACAGUGUGUCACAGAUUUUAUCAGUAACAAAUUGUCAGUUACAACUCUCCCACCAUCAAGCUAUAGGUUGGGAGUUCGUCCAUCCAAACUCCAUGAGUUAUUCCCUCCUUACAUAACUGAAGCUUUGCAACAAUCAAUAACGAUGAUUGACAAAGAGAUGCCAGGCUUUAUUUCUAGUGAAGCCUUACUUCAUGGUGUAGAGACUAGAACGAGCUCCCCCUUGCAAAUCUCACGACACAGGGAGACAUACGAGAGCACGUCACUGCAAGGGUUGUAUCCAAUUGGGGAAGGUGCUGGCUAUGCAGGGGGCAUAGUAAGUGCUGCUGUGGAUGGCAUGUAUUGCGGUUUUGCUUUAGCAAAACAGCUUUCUCUGUUCGCUGGUGAUAUAGAGGCAAUUUUUGGCAAAGCACAAAAACAAACAGGUUCUGUAAAAUAUUGA
rnacentral:rRNA from 1 species